rfam:Nipponia nippon contig68764, whole genome shotgun sequence.
AUAAAGGUUUUGCACUUAGAGUGACAUAAAAACCACCAAAAGUUUAAAAAAAAUUGCUU